rnacentral:lncRNA from 1 species
GCCGUACUUGGUGCACGUGCAGUUCAAUACAUCCUGCCCCUUUUGCUUAUGUUUCUCACCUCUUGGCAAAGCGCAGGUGCUGCUGACUCUGAGCCAAGGGAAGUGUUCAACAUGAAAAAGGUGUGGUUUUUUUUUUCCUUUUCCAGGGUGUUUUUCAUUAAUUAAGCCUCAAGACAGCAGCAGGAGGUUGUGACGGGUUUCAUCUCGGGAGCUCUGGGUGCCGAAGCCCUGCGAGCGAGGUUGCUUCCCAGGACGUCGCAUCGCCGCCGCCGCCUCCUGCCCCGCGUCGUGCUCGCGCCGAGCGCCGCAGCCGCGAGACGUGCUGCGGGAGGAACGUCUGGGCUCGCGGAGCUGGACGGCUGCCUUACCCGUGGCUGCACGUUUGGAGGACUCCGGCAGCGGUGCUUUGCCGAGGGGCCGCCCGGGACCGUGCCGAGCUGGAAGGGAUCGCAGGCUCCAGGCCCGUUUCCCAGACGGAUGCAGGCACCUGGCAAGCAUCGGGAGGAGCAAAGAGGAAGGUUUCCGUGGGGAUACGGUGCCGGUCAGGGCUGGGCACGUGUAACGCGGCGGACGCUUAGCUGGGCAAAGCAGUGACAGCUGCGGUGCCGGUCUCUCCAGUGUGGCCACAUGGGCUUAAAGUUGUUAAAUUAAGUAUUCACUGGAAGGUUUACGUGCACGUAGAGGAGCACGUAAUCUGCUCAUGUGCUGUGCUGCCGUUGACUGGAAGUGUCCCCCUUGCAGUCGCUCUCAGCGCUGGGCGAUUGCCCUCUGCCAGCAUCGUUUCUCCCCUCCUGCUAGUUGUCUCCCACGGCUGUGAGCAGCACAGAUGUUUCAGCAACGCACACUCCGUCCUGCAGCUUCCAGAUAGCCUUGAGGGACCACAGCAGAAAGCGACACUUUAACAAAAACCUCUCGAGAGAAGCCGUAUUUUCUGUUCCUGCACGACAUACCAAGCAAGAGAUUCAGAGAGAAAAGCUAACAAAGUGCUUGCGUUCAGCCUGAGUGAAAUCGGACUGGGUGCUGAGUGCCGCCGGGCACGCGGGAACGGGUCCCGGACGGGCCGACGUGGGGCACCCGGGCCGAGCCACGAGCCCCGACGAUCAAACUCAUCCUCCAGCUCGUGCACCGACCACGGCGGUAAGGACUCAGCUUUGCGGUCCGUGUUCGCUGGAGCGUCCUCAGCGGCCCCGACCGAGGGGAGCCGGUCCCCUGCGAGGAGCCGGGCCGGUCCCGUGGCCACCCGGGGCUUGUGUCGCCUGCUGGCACCGCAGGCUGUGCGGGAAGAGCGGCCGCCGUGCAAGAGCCCCGCUGUCGGGACUGCUCAAGGACACGCAGGUUAUCACCUGAGCAAGUUUCAAUCGGGGCAGAAAAAGGUAAACAAAAGGGAGCAAAUUCACUCUUGGAGAGAGAGGCCCUGGAUAAACCUGGAUUUUAUUACGCUUUAGCACCUUUAACAGUGUCUUCUAAGAUUUAGGAUCUGCACUGUUUCGCUGAUGAAAAAAUCACUGCUGCAAAUGGAAUUAGUGUGGAUUAAUAACAGAGGAAGGAAGGGGCUGUCUUAUGAUCCAAAGUCUUUGGGCUGUAAGACUUGGUCAUGUUUCUGCGGAGUCUGGGGUAAAUUUGACUUGAGACAAGAAUCAGUUACAGGGUUUCAUGGGAAUUUGAAAUAGUCUCAUUAAAUUACUUCUUUAGAAACCCUAAUCUUCCUUAUUUACCUGAAAUAAUGUGUUUGUAAAAAUGUAUUCUCCAUAAUGAUAGCUCUGUAUGAAGAACCUGCUCAACGCACACUGUAAUUAAGUGUCUUGUGUGUCUAAUUAUUGUUCAGCCAUACAUCAAGGUGCUUUGACACUGCAUACUUGCAGACUAGACUAGCAUUUAAGGAAAUUUGUAGACCAGUGAAAACCUCAUUGAUAAAUGUGACCAGUAACGUAUCUAUUAAAGUAGUAAAUCUGCAAUUUUGUUAUACCAGCAGUAUACCAUAGCUUAGGUCGUAGCGGGUAGCAACUGGGAAACCAGUUUGGGAGUUGUAUUCGGUGGGAAUUAGAGCAGGAAUUAACUGGCUGUGCUGGCAUAUUGAAAAACAAACAAACGAGACUUAACCCUGCCUUACAUGAUCCUUGUUGUCACGGUUAAUGCCACUGAGAUAAAUACAGCCAGCAAGGAAGAGGAGAUGAUCCUCAGGAGUAAUAUGUCUAGGAAUGGGUAGAACAGAGGAUGAGGUAAAGAGCAGGAGGGAAUGUUUGUGUGAAUAUGAGGGAGGAAGAAAAAUGGGGGGGAUCCAUCCUUAGACGGCAAGGUGGAGCAUGCAGGUCUGCUCGCUCUCGUUAUCUAUACGCCCAUCAGCUACAGAGGCUUUCGUUUGAUGAAAGGAUCAGAGGAAUACUUGGAAAAAAGCUUCAAUUUGAGGCCUAAAUUAAGUGUUGAUAUUAAUAGCAUGUUUAAUUA